rnacentral:misc_RNA from 1 species
AAAGUUUUGAGAAUAGCAGAACAAGCCAUUAAUGGUACACACAUGUUAACUUCCAAAUGAGCAACUAUAGGAAUUAUGCCUCCAGAAUAUAAAGAAAAAAAAAUACCACAUUUUCUAUUCAAAAUUAAAAAUUAAAGGAAAGAUAAAAAAACUAACAUUGUAGGUGAUUAUCUCGAUGACUUCUGCAUUGGCAAGUACAUG